rnacentral:rRNA from 1 species
GGUGUAGCGGUGAAAUGCGUAGAGAUCUGAAGGAAUACCAGUGGCGAAGGCGGCCCCCUGGACAAAGACUGACGCUCAGAUGCGAAAGCGUGGGUAGCAAACAGGAUUAGAUACCCUGGUAGUCCACGCCGUAAACGCUGUCUACUUGGAGGUUGAGGUUUUAGACUUUGGCUUUCGGCGCUAACGCAUUAAGUAGACCGCCUGGGGAGUACGGCUGCAAGGUUAAAACUCAAAUGAAUUGACGGGGGCCCGCACAAGCGGUGGAGCAUGUGGUUUAAUUCGAUGCAACGCGAAGAACCUUACCUACUCUUGACAUCCAGCGAAUCCUUUAGAGAUAGAGGCGUGCCUUCGGGAGCGCUGAGACAGGUGGUGCAUGGCUGUCGUCAGCUCGUGUUGUGAAAUGUUGGGUUAAGUCCCGCAACGAGCGCAACCCUUAUCCUUGUUUGCCAGCACAUAAUGGUGGGAACUCCAGGGAGACUGCCGGUGAUAAACCAGAGGAAGGUGGGGACGACGUCAAGUCAUCAUGGCCCUUACGAGUAGGGCUACACACGUGCUACAAUGGCAGAUACAGAGGGCAGCGAAGCUGCGAAGUGGAGCGAAUCCCUUAAAGUCUGUCGUAGUCCGGAUUGGAGUCUGCAACUCGACUCCAUGAAGUCGGAAUCGCUAGUAAUCGUGGAUCAGAAUGCCGCGGUGAAUACGUUCCCGGGCCUUGUACACACCGCCCG